rnacentral:rRNA from 1 species
AGUGAACGCUGGCGGCAGGCCUAACACAUGCAAGUCGAACGGCAGCACAGGAGAGCUUGCUCUCUGGGUGGCGAGUGGCGGACGGGUGAGGAAUAUAUCGGAAUCUACCCUUUCGUGGGGGAUAACGUAGGGAAACUUACGCUAAUACCGCAUACGAACUGAGGUUGAAAGCGGCGGACCGCAAGGCGUCGCGCGGAUGGAUGAGCCGAUAUCCGAUUAGCUAGUUGGCGGGGUAAAGGCCCACCAAGGCGACGAUCGGUAGCUGGUCUGAGAGGAUGAUCAGCCACACUUGAACGUAGACACGGUCCAGACUCAUACGGGAGGCAGCAGUGGGGAGUAUUGGAAAAUGGGCGCAAGCCUCAGCCAGCCAUGCCGCGUGUGUGAAGAAGGCCUUUGGGUUGUAAAGCACUUUUGUUGGGAAAGAAAAGCGGUCGGUUAAUACCCGGUCGUUCUGACGGUACCCAAAGAAUAAGCACCGGCUAACUUCGUGCCAGCCGCCGCCGUAA